AUUGAACGCUGGCGGCAGGCCUAACACAUGCAAGUCGAGCGGAUGAAGGGAGCUUGCUCCUGGAUUCAGCGGCGGACGGGUGAGUAAUGCCUAGGAAUCUGCCUGGUAGUGGGGGAUAACGUCCGGAAACGGGCGCUAAUACCGCAUACGUCCUGAGGGAGAAAGGGGGGGAUCUUCGGACCUCACGCUAUCAGAUGAGCCUAGGUCGGAUUAGCUAGUUGGUGGGGUAAAGGCCUACCAAGGCGACGAUCCGUAACUGGUCUGAGAGGGUGAUCAGUCACACUGGAACUGAGACACGGUCCAGACUCCUACGGGAGGCAGCAGUGGGGAAUAUUCGACAAUGGGCGAAAGCCUGAUCGAGCCAUGCCGCGUGUGUGAAGAAGGUCUUCGGAUCGUAAAGCACUUUUAGUUGGGAGGAAGGGCAGUAAGUUAAUACCUUGCUGUUUUGACGUUACCAACAGAAUAAGCACCGGCUAACUUCGUG
rnacentral:rRNA from 1 species